CAAGGCCAGCCCCUGCCCAUAUAAGGGAGCUGCCAGCCAAUCCUCGCUCUCUUGGGUUUCUGCUCUCUCUUGUUCCUGAGCUGCAAAGCAAGCAGCAUAUCUCUUGUUUCCGGAUUACCAGACUGAGCAGAUCUGUUAUAUCCUUCAAGACAAGCUUAGGCCUGAAGCCUGCCAGCCUCGGCCUGAAUCUAAUCGUUCACAGUAUUGACAUCACUCAAACCAAACACAAGGACUUCAGCGAGAAAGGUUUAAGUCAAGACGCUGCCGGCCGGGGCUGUCUCCCGAACCUCCCCAAACUUGGACUAUCAAGCAUUACCUGCAAGGACAUCGCUAUAUCCACAUCAUCUGGAGGACAGUAUGAAAAGGAGCAUAUCGGUACAGAGCCUUAUUGGGACCACUUACCAUUUAUUACUAAAGUGAAAGGUCUAUGAUUAUGUCUUAUUGUAUGUAUCAUUGUAAGCGAAAUGUUAAGCCUGCAACGGAAGAAUGCCAGACACCAGCUGAGUGAGUGGCAUACUAAAUCAUAGCUAGCAGCAUACGGCUGAGAAUACGAGAUGAGCGCCUGGAUCGCCCACAUCGCCAACAAGCACCAUACAAGCAGGCUGAAUGCAACAUCCUGUCCUCGUAAGAGGCUGAGAUUGGGAAAACAAUAUACAAAACAUAAAUGUGACAGGCAUGAUGUGAGAAAAUACGUAAUUGUUGUAAAAAAAAAGCUUAAAGGGACAGCAUAGCAUGAAAGACCAAAGCUAUUUGCUUUAUCCAAUGGUAUAAAUAGACUGAAACUUGAAUAGGUCACAUUUACAAGCAUUUCCGAGAUCGACCUGGAUAUAUAGGGACAAAUCAAGAGUCAUCAUCCCACCCGGCUCCGACCCGCUCUUGUUCACUAUGUUUUGUGAGUCUACAGCCAAUACAAUGCGAAUACCUCUAUUAAUAAAUGUU